UUGUUAAUGAUGCUACCAUAUUUAAACUUGAAUUACCUUUGAAGCAAAAAGGGUAAGCUUUUUAAAACUGUAUUUUAACAAU